CUGCGUAACUUCUUUCUUAUCAUCAUCUAUCUCUAUUCUCUUUCUAACUCUCUCUCUCUUCUCUUUCUUUCUCUUUUCUAAAUUUUCGCCACACAAGAUGCAGUCUAGAGUUUCUUCACGAUCAGGAGUCCAAACAAUAUCCGAUCGUCACGAAAUUUUAACCGAAGAAAUAAUUUCGAAAGUGGCUGUCGGUUUCUACAGUACCAGCGUUGGUUUUGUACACGAUCGGAGGUUCAAACAUUAUCCGAUCGUUCUGAAAUUUUAAACGAAGAGGUAGAAAUACGGGGAGUGUUUAAUGGCGGAGCUCCCGGGAUGGUGCAGGUGGUAAAGAAGGUCAAGUCUAGGAGGUUUUUCUGAAAUGGAAGCGGGAUUACUAAUCGCUCGCGAUGUCGAACUUUCUUUUAUUGUUGUAAACAUUCAAAUAUUACUUGUUAUUUUACGUAUCUAGUUUAGUGCAUAAAUUAUGUAAUUAGAACGGGGUAUUACAAGAACGGGGGAUGCAAAUUUUGUCAAAGCGUGAUCUUCUCUCUGGUCAUAAAGUAAAGAAACUGGAUUUAUGCGAACAUUGUGUUUUAGGGAGCUUCAUCGCAACAAGUUCCCAAAGAAGGGUGUUCAUCGGACCAAGGGGACGCUCGACUACAUUCACAUGGAUUGUUGGGGUCCAUCACGUGCUUAAUCUAUUGGAGGUCACAAGUAUUUUGUGUCGAUGAUUGAUGACUACUCGAGGAUGACUUGGGUGUACAUGAUGAAGCAUAAAGGUGACGCUUUCAAGAAGUUCAAACAGUGGAAAACCUUGGUGGAAAAUCAGAUAGGGAAGAAGAUCAAGCGACAGAGAACUGAUAAUGGUUUGGACUUGCUUAAUCUCAUGAGCUGUUAAUUGCUCGAGGAGGGCAAAUCUGAGGCAACUGUUCGUCUGGCAUUGUAAUGAUGCAUCUGCAAGGGAGAAUUCAAGUCAAGGUGGAGAUUUGUUAGUAUGCCUUGAAUCUGCAUAGAUUAUGUUUCAUAAUUGGGAUAGGAUUGUAUUUCCUAAUUGGGAUAGGAUCUCAUGUGUGCCUAUUUAUAUGGGAGUAGAACACAUAAUUCUGUAAUUUGAAAUAUGUAGCCAUGUAAUCCGUAAUUUGAAAUUUGUAGCCACAAUCUGAAAACACUCUGAAUAAUAUUUGUUCUUCGUUUC